rnacentral:rRNA from 1 species
GACGGACGCUGGCGGCGUGCCUAAUACAUGCAAGUCGAACGCACUCUCGUUUAGAUUGAAGGAGCUUGCUCCUGAUUGAUAAACAUUUGAGUGAGUGGCGGACGGGUGAGUAACACGUGGGUAACCUGCCCUAAAGUGGGGGAUAACAUUUGGAAACAGAUGCUAAUACCGCAUAAAACCUAACAACCGCAUGGUGUAGGGUUGAAAGAUGGUUUCGGCUAUCACUUUAGGAUGGACCGCGGUGCAUUAGUUAGUUGGUGAGGUAAAAGGGACUCACCAAGAACCGUGAUGCAUAAGCCGACCUGAGAGGGUAAAUCGGCCACACUGGGAC